UCUACUANUUNUNGACNUGNAUGAAAGGCANNNUGANNNUCUAACUGUCUCUUAUAGUCHAUCUAUUAAACUGAUCUCCUAGUAAAAAAGCUAGGAUGUAAACAUAAGACCAGAAGACCCUGUGAAGCUUAAACUAAACUAUUAAACCAUAUAAUAACUACUUUCGGUUGGGGCGACCUUGGAAAAAARAAGAACUUCCAAACAUAUGACCUUCAUCAUACUAAAUGGCACACAAGCCAACGAACGACCCAGCACAGCUGACUAAUGAACCAAGUUACUCCAGGGAUAACAGCGCAAUCCUCUUCAAGAGCCCAUAUCAAAAAGAGGGUUUACGACCUCGAUGUUGGAUCAGGACAUCCUAAUGGUGCAGUCGCUAUUAAGGGUUCGUUUGUUCAACGAUUAACAGUCCUACGUGAUCUGAGUUC
rnacentral:rRNA from 1 species